rnacentral:rRNA from 1 species
UGGGGAAUUUUGGACAAUGGGGGAAACCCUGAUCCAGCAAUGCCGCGUGUGUGAAGAAGGCCUUCGGGUUGUAAAGCACUUUUGUUCGGAAAGAAAUCCCUUGGGAUAAUACCUCGGGGGGAUGACGGUACCGGAAGAAUAAGCACCGGCUAACUACGUGCCAGCAGCCGCGGUAAUACGUAGGGUGCAAGCGUUAAUCGGAAUUACUGGGCGUAAAGCGUGCGCAGGCGGUUUUGUAAGACGGAUGUGAAAUCCCCGGGCUUAACCUGGGAACUGCAUUCGUGACUGCAAAGCUAGAGUAUGGCAGAGGGGGGUAGAAUUCCACGUGUAGCAGUGAAAUGCGUAGAGAUGUGGAGGAAUACCGAUGGCGAAGGCAGCCCCCUGGGCCAAUACUGACGCUCAUGCACGAAAGCGUGGGGAGCAAACAGGAUUAGAUACCCGUGUAGUCC